rnacentral:rRNA from 1 species
AUUGAACGCUGGCGGCAGGCCUAACACAUGCAAGUCGAACGAGCGGCGGACGGGUGAGUAAUGUCUGUGAAACUGCCUGAUGGAGGGGGGUAACUCCUGGAAACGGUAGCUCAUACCGCAUACCAUCAGAUGUGCCCAGAUGGGAUUUGCUAGUGGGUGGGGUAACGGCUCACCUAGGCGACGAUCCCUAGCUGGUCUGAGAGGAUGACCAGCCACACUGGAACUGAGACACGGUCCAGACUCCUACGGGAGGCAGCAGUGGGGAAUAUUGCACAAUGGGCGCAAGCCUGAUGCAGCCAUGCCGCGUGUGUGAAGAAGGCCUUCGGGUUGUAAAGCACUUUCAGCGGGGAGGCGUUACCCGCAGAAGAAGCACCGGCUAACUCCGUGCCAGCAGCCGCGGUAAUUC